UACGGGAGGCAGCAGGGGGGAAUAUUGCACAAUGGGCGCAAGCCUGAUGCAGCCAUGCCGCGUGUAUGAAAAAGGCCUUCGGGUUGUAAAGUACUUUCAGUCGUGAGGAAGGUGUUAAGGUUAAUAACCUUAGCAAUUGACGUUAGCGACAGAAGAAGCACCGGCUAACUCCGUGCCAGCAGCCGCGGUAAUACGGAGGGUGCGAGCGUUAAUCGGAAUUACUGGGCGUAAAGGGCACGCAGGCGGUUAAUUAAGUUGGAUGUGAAAUCCCCGGGCUUAACCUGGGAAUGGCAUUCAAGACUGGUUAGCUAGAGUCUUGUAGAGGGGGUAGAAUUCCAUGUGUAGCGGUGAAAUGCGUAGAGAUGUGGAGGAAUACCGGUGGCGAAAGGGCGGCCCCUGGACAAAGACUGACGCUCAUGUGCGAAAGCGUGGGGAGCAAACAGGGAUUAGAUACC
rnacentral:rRNA from 1 species